UGGGGAAUAUUGCACAAUGGGCGCAAGCCUGAUGCAGCGACGCCGCGUGAGGGAUGACGGCCUUCGGGUUGUAAACCUCUUUCAGUAGGGAAGAAGCGAAAGUGACGGUACCUGCAGAAGAAGCACCGGCUAACUACGUGCCAGCAGCCGCGGUAAUACGUAGGGUGCGAGCGUUAUCCGGAAUUAUUGGGCGUAAAGAGCUCGUAGGCGGUUUGUCGCGUCUGUCGUGAAAGUCCGGGGCUUAACCCCGGAUCUGCGGUGGGUACGGGCAGACUAGAGUGCAGUAGGGGAGACUGGAAUUCCUGGUGUAGCGGUGGAAUGCGCAGAUAUCAGGAGGAACACCGAUGGCGAAGGCAGGUCUCUGGGCUGUAACUGACGCUGAGGAGCGAAAGCAUGGGGAGCGAACAGGAUUAGAUACCCUGGUAGUCCAUGCCGUAAACGUUGGGCACUAGGUGUGGGGACCAUUCCACGGUUUCCGCGCCGCAGCUAAGCGCAUUAAGUGCCCCGCCU
rnacentral:rRNA from 1 species